rnacentral:tRNA from 1 species
AGGAUGUUGGCGUAACUGGAAACGUAUCGGAGAUCAUAACCCGAAGCUACAGGUUCAAGUCCUGUACAUCCUU